UCAGUCAUACGGGGGGCAGCAGUGAGGAAUAUUGGUCAAUGGUCGGGAGACUGAACCAGCCAAGCCGCGUGAGGGAGGAAGGUACAGAGUAUCGUAAACCUCUUUUGUCAGGGAACAAAGACUGGGACGCGUCCCCGGAUGAGUGUACCUGAAGAAAAAGCAUCGGCUAACUCCGUGCCAGCAGCCGCGGUAAUACGGAGGAUGCGAGCGUUAUCCGGAUUUAUUGGGUUUAAAGGGUGCGCAGGCGGUCUGUUAAGUCAGCGGUCAAAGCCCGGGGCUCAACCCCGGCCCGCCGUUGAAACUGG
rnacentral:rRNA from 1 species